rnacentral:lncRNA from 1 species
GUGAGGGUUGAGACAAGACGUGAGAGUCGUUCGUAGCGGUCGAUAAAGUUUCCGACCCGAUUUGUUCGGUUUAGUUAUUAUCCCCUUUAUUUCUGUUGAUAUAACUUAGACAUCUAAUAUGGUUCAGUAUUUCAUUAUGUUUUAAUAUUCAAGAUUUCAGUUGGUUUUCUGAAUUUAAUAAAGAUUCGUGGAUUUUUGUAAGAUGGAAAGGUUUUCUACCCCUCGUGGUAGCGAGUUUCAAAAAGAAAAAGGUUUCCGUGUGGGAAACAGUUUUAAAGAGUUUUCUCGUGGUUUUUGUAACUUAGUACUUCAAAACCAGUUUCCGGAUAGGAAAUGUUUUAACUAAUAGUUGUGGUUUUAUGUUUAAACAUUGAAUGGUAAAUUUGUGGUGAAUGGUGAAUGAAUGUUGAAUGUUGUAUAUUCAUUAUGGUGGUUGUA